CAGCCUCCGGCCACUCGCGUCCAUCCUACGCCGCUGCACGCGGCAGAAGGGAGGCCCACACGUGAGACUUGUGUGUCGCCCAUGUCCGCAGACCAAAUCGAUUGUGCCUGAUUAGUCGCCCCACGCCUCGCGGUCAUUCGCAGCCACAGCGCCGUCGUCGGCCUCCUCAGAGCCGGCCCUUCGAUUCAAUCCCUUGGCCCUCCUCCCCUGUUGGCCGUGAAGAAGGCUCCAUGCCGUCGGCGCGGAGAAAACGGCGGCGGAUUCGUCGCCGGCGGCAAAUGCUGCCACUACGCGUAGCAGGAGGGAGGUCAACAUGGAAGAUAUACGCAUCCUCCUUGACCGCGGGCCAUAUUGUCUCCGCCUGAUUCAUCGUACCUGGCCUCGCGGUCGUUCGCCUCCUCCAUCUCGCGGUCAGUCGCCUCAUCCACCUCACAGUCGCUCGCCUCCUCCAUCUCGCAGUCGCAGCGCCGUUGCUGGCCUCCUCCGACCCAAGCCCGUUCCUCUUUGUUGGCUCUGUUCCCGAUCCUUCCUAUGCAACCUUGGGCAGCCGUGUACCUGUCCUCCCCUCUCCCCUUUAUCCUCCUGCAACGAUGGCCUCACAUCCAUUUUGAUUGAGGUGCUUCGCUUCUGAAUGCAGAUUUAGCAUCACCUCGCUACCUCACCCUCCUGGUCUUCCUUGAAUGGGUCACCGCCAUCAUCAAUUGAUGUUGGCUAAAGGUGACAGGGGGGAUAUUUAUCAAUUAAAUACACAAUGAAACGAUCUGCCACAUUGUCUUCUUUGUCUGAAGUUUUAAGGUAAUGUUGUGGAACAAUUUGUCAUUGUGUGUGGUAUUAGUGGGAUAGCAGGAGAAAAUUCUGAAUAUCUAACUUGAUAGGGUUACAUGGAAAAUUGAUACAUCAGCCUUUUUUCGGUAGAAACAUACUGAUAUAACUAUAUAUAUAUAUAGCACCUUGCAUUAAGAUUGAAGAUGUGCUAAAAUUGGAGCUAGCUAGGUAUAUGUAGAUUCAACAUGCUCUCAUGUUAGUCAAUUUCUAAUACUAAUAAGUUUUGAUUACAGGUCAUGGCAUUGUAGGGCUCUGUUUCCUUUUGUACUUGUGGGCCUGAGAGUUUUCUUAUUUUGUUAUGAAAGAAAUCAAACAUAAAUAAUAUAAUGUUAGACUGUUAGUGAUGAGGAAAAUGAAUUGGCAAGCAAGAGUGAUAUGGUUGAUGUGAAAAGAUUGGCUUGAAAAUUUACUAUUAUGUGUCCUUCAGACCUUUUAAUUGUACAUAAAAGAAAAAAGUGUAUCCAUCUUGCUUUGUGUCUAUUUCUUUUAUGGAAGCUCUAACAUGUUUUCCCUCAACCCAUGUUAUGCACUCCUAAGGUAUUCUAAUACAUGUGUAAUUACCUUCGCUGAUGAUCGAUUACCCAUUUGUAAUUUUAGCUAACUAAGAAUUAUGCAAUCACUAUGUUCCACAGAUUUUAUUCUUAUUUCGCUUCAUGUCUUUUGUUUUAUGCUAUUACUAUGUUUAUUUUGAUUCCUCUAUUUUCCAGGUUACGGAUGAAUGCAAAAGAAUUACUCCCUAUGCCUUCUAUUCUUGACAAAGAUGAAUGCUCCGCUAGAGAGAUUUGUUGUCAGGAUAUCCUUCAAUAUGCAUGAUAUUCCUUCCUGGCCUUUAUUUCUUGAUUGUUAGUAAAAACCUAUUGAUUUCCAGAGAUAUUGAUGUGUACCAUUUUCCCUUUAUGUUUUUAAGAGCCUUGCUCUAUAUCUCCGACCUUUGUAGUAAGCACAUGUUUUUACUUGAGUCUCCACUUUUAAUUAUGUUAGAAUAGAUGCAGAUGGCCUCCCCUUUUGCUAAUAAAUCCUCUUUUGCAAGUACAUCAAUUGUGACUUGGUGAUGCAGGCACCAAAUCAUUUCAUUUCCUGAUGAUGAUAAGUCAAUUAUGGCUUGGUGAUGCAGGCACCAAAUCAUGUAAUUUCCCGAUGAUGAGAAGUUAAAUGCAUGUAUUUUGGGACCUCAUGAGAACAAGGUCUUUGACAACAAAGCAUCCUUUGAUUGUACAUGUAUCUUCGUCAAGAUGAGAUAACACUACUGUUGUUUCUCUCUCUCUAGCUGAGUGUUGUAAAGUUUAAUUAUAUUUUCUGUUCAAGUCAAUCGUAUUAUAUAGCUGAGUUGUAUACAUGUACUGAUAUAUUCAAUAGAGCAUAUUGUAUAUAACUGACUUUUCUGCAUAUACAUUUUAAUUAUUAAAUAUGUUCUAACGAA